UUGUGGUAAUUGAUGAAACUCAUACUUACAAGGGAGCAUUUGGAUGUCACACUACACUUAUAUAGAGGAGGCUAAAACGACUCUGUUCACAUGUAUAUGGAUCUGUUCCUUCUUUUGUUUUUUCUACUGCAACUUCUGCAAAUCCUCGACAACAUUCUAUGGAACUUGCAAAUUUAUCUAUUCUGGAGCUAUUUCAGAAUGAUGGAAGUCCAUCUACAAGGAAACUUUUUGUCCUUUGGAAUCCGGUUGUGCAUCCAAAAGCUCUCGGUUGAAAUUUUAUUGUAUUUGUGAAGUUAUAUAGCUUUUAUUUUCGUAACUAAAGAUAUUUUUACAAGCUAAAUUCUCUUGCUACAUAACCACAGAUCAUUGCAACUAUUGGUUUUGAUUCAUGGAUUCUUAUGUUAAGUUACCUGCAUGCUUUAAUCACUGGAAUGUAGUUUCAGCUUGAAUAAUGUGUGGUACUGAUCAAUUCCUCCAAAGGCUUAAGUUAUUAUAUGGAUACCCGAGAAUGAUUUUAUUCCUUUUAUAUUCUACCUUAUGCAAGAGCCAUUUUGGCUUAAAGCAUGGUCCAUACAUAUGGUUCAUUUGACCUUGGGCUGAUAUUCAUUUCAAUUACGAAAAUUGAAUAAUGAGGCAGCAUGGCUUUGUCUUCUAACCACUUUAUCUUAAAUUCCAGUACCAUGUUAAACAUCAAUUUUCCUAAAAACUUAAGUUGUUAUAUGAAAGCAUAGGAAUUGUUUUAUA